rnacentral:rRNA from 1 species
CGUUAUUCGGAAUCACUGGGCGUAAAGGGUGCGUAGGCGGUCGGGUAAGUCUGAUGUGAAAUCUCACAGCUUAACUGUGAAACUGCAUUGGAUACUAUCCGGCUCGAGGAAUGGAGGGGAGACUGGAAUACAUGGUGUAGCAGUGAAAUGCGUAGAUAUCAAAUGGAACACCAGUGGCGAAGGCGAGUCUCUGGACAUUUCCUGACGCUGAGGCACGAAAGCCAGGGGAGCAAACGGG